GUAGGGGGCAAGCGUUAUCCGGAUUUACUGGGUGUAAAGGGAGCGUAGACGGUUUUGCAAGUCUGAAGUGAAAGCCCGGGGCUUAACCCCGGGACUGCUUAGGAAACUGUAGGACUAGAGUGCAGGAGAGGUAAGUGGAAUUCCUAGUGUAGCGGUGAAAUGCGUAGAUAUUAGGAGGAACACCAGUGGCGAAGGCGGCUUACUGGACGGUAACUGACGUUGAGGCUCGAAAGCGUGGGGAGCAAACAGGAUUAGAUACCCUGGUAGUCCACGCCGUAAACGAUGACUACUAGGUGUCGGGCAGCANANCUGUUCGGUGCCGCAGCAAACGCAAUAAGUAGUCCACCUGGGGAGU
rnacentral:rRNA from 1 species